CAGUCGCCGCGGUAAAACGGAGGGUGCAAGCGUUAAUCGGAAUUACUGGGCGUAAAGCGCACGCAGGCGGUCUGUCAAGUCGGAUGUGAAAUCCCCGGGCUCAACCUGGGAACUGCAUUCGAAACUGGCAGGCUAGAGUAUUGUAGAGGGGGGUAGAAUUCCAGGUGUAGCGGUGAAAUGCGUAGAGAUCUGGAGGAAUACCGGUGGCGAAGGCGGCCCCCUGGACAAAGACUGACGCUCAGGUGCGAAAGCGUGGGGAGCAAACAGGAUUAGAUACCCCGGUAGUCCCUGUCUCUUAUAA
rnacentral:rRNA from 1 species